UCAAUAACAGACGAUUCCAGGUACCGUUCCAAGAGGUCUGAGACUACGAAACUUUCAGUAUGGAUUUCAUAGAGGCUGAAAUUGCGUUCUUUCUUUCGUUUUGUAGAAAAAUAAAAGUUGAGACUUCUGAGCUAGGUAAUUUCAUAUUUUAAUGAAGUUUCAAAUGUAACACGUCAAAUGAUAAAAGAUUGAUCAUUGAAAAAUACAAUUUUAAUAUUGUCGUUAUCUCUGAUCAUUGCACGAUCUAUAAUUAAUCAAAAGCAUCUUACGAUCGAAUUGAUCAGCCUGUCGGAACGAACCAGAAAUCGUCGAUCGAGAUUUAUCAAUUGGUACUUAGGGCCGAUCGUAGAUCGAGAACUUCUCUCGUUCCGUGCUACUGUUUCAAGUGUAUCGAAAAGCCUUAGCAUAUUUUCGAGUAAACACUUUUCAAUAUGCAUGAAUUGGAAGUAUGGUAGUAAUAGAGAUCAAUAAAUAAUAGAAUUUUUUAAACUUUUAUACAAAAAAAAUACCUUAAUUUCUCGCAGUGAUAUUUUAAGUACGAAAGACUUUUCGAUACAUUUGAAACGAAAUCGUAGAAAACUGCAGAAUGACAUUGGAAAUGAAAACUAAGGGAAAUAAUAACAGUAACAUUUUUUAUACGUGCAUUUUUUACAUGUGCAUUUCUUGUGCAUUUGGAAAAGGAAAAGCGCAUUUUUAACCUCUUUUUGCCGAGAUGUAGGCAAUAAAAGCGAGGUUUAGUGCAUGACGAGUUUAUACGAAAGAAGUUAUUUUUUUGAAGGUAAAAUACGUAAAUAGAAAGCAAGCGUAUUCGCAAAUAACUCGUGAAUUGAUAUUCAUGCUUGAAAUUAAAUCAAAACAUACAAAAUGUAGAAUAAAAUCCAUUUUGUACUUGUUAGCUUAGAAUAUUAAUCGAUGUUUGAUCAAUUACAUAUUCCCAGAGAUGUUCGGUAUUUGAAAAUAAAAGACAAAAAGAGGUUAAUGGGCGGUUAUACAUAUUUAACGAGUAUGUACUGUACAUACACAUAUACAGAGUAUCGUAUAAAGUAUGGGGCAUUCGGCGAAUAAGUUUUUCGACGAAAAAUCACAUUUUGAAUAAUUCAAUGUGACUACUUCAUAAAUUAUCUGAAAUCUGAAAACAUCUGAAUCACGUACGCUGCAAGUUCUCUUUUAUGUUGCUUCCAUUUCGUAAAUGGUAUCACGUAAAGUGGACUGCCAAUUUUGCUAUUGAAAGAAACGAAAUAAUUAUAGCAUUAAAUCAUGUUAAAGUACAAAAGAAUUUAUGCACUUUUGGUACGAGGAAAAAGAUAUUCUUUUCUGGAUGCAACACGCUUUAUUGUACACUCUAUAUAUAGCAGGGUUAUUCUAUUUUUUGAUACGGCUAAGUGAUUUGUACAUGGACGAAACCGGCCUGUUCUUUUUUUUUUAUAUUAAACAGCUUUCUUAGUACUUUUUUAGGCUGGCUCUUCAAAUUUGCAAUUGAACUGCCAUUUAAUAUAAAUAAUAGUAAUACCGUGGACCACUACCUUUUCUCCACGCUAACAAUUACGAAUAAAAUCUGAAGAGAAACGUUCCGAGUAAAUUUAAUAAAAGUUGUAUACACAAAAUUUAAAACACGAAUGUGUCGACGAAAUAGAACGAGAUUCGAGUGGAAUAAUAAGGAAAUAUACGUGUUUGUAUCCCUUUUUAAUAAAUAUAAGGGCGGGAGCUCUGAGCCUCAGGAUCUUUUACAAGGUAUAAAAAGCUUACAUGCCCGUCGUUAACCUUCUUAUCAAAUGUAUUUCUUUUUAAUGGGAAUUUGGAUGAUUGUAAAAAAUAUACCUCUUUAAUUAUGAAA